rnacentral:rRNA from 1 species
GACGGAGGAUGCAAGUGUUAUCCGGAAUCACUGGGCGUAAAGCGUCUGUAGGUGGUUAAAUAAGUCAACUGUUAAAUCUUGAGGCUCAACCUCAAAAUCGCGGUCGAAACUAUUUGACUAGAGUAUAGUAGGGGUAAAGGGAAUUUCCAGUGGAGCGGUGAAACGCGUAGAGAUCGGAAAGAACACCAACGGCGAAGGCACUCUGCUGGGCCGACACUGACACUGAGAGACGAAAGCUAGGGGAGCAAAUGGG